rnacentral:lncRNA from 10 species
CAUCAGUUGAUCCUUAACUUUCAAGAAUAAAUAAAUAAAGUUGCAUUUAAAAAGCUAAAGGCUAAGAUCUUUGGGGUUUGGGUUUGGGGGUCACACAAAUCGACUCGUGCAGAACUUGGAGGCACAAUUGGACAACUGGAACAAUGACAGACAAGGUACCUUGUCCAUGUAGUCUGUGACCUGCAAACACUUUCUACUCCAGCAGUGGCAGAUCUUGGCAGUUAAGAGCACGGGUUCCCAUGAGUUCUGGAUUUGAAUCCUGGCUGACCACUUGUGAGCUCUACAAUCUCAGGGCAAAGCCCUCCUGUUCCCAGCCCCAAGUCGGUUAAACCCAUGUUAAAUCUAUAGGUUGAAGACCUGGAUCAUUCGAAGCCCAGAGCCUUGCACAGCAGCGAUCUGCUCCAACAGAGGGUGAUGUCAUCAUCCGAGGCCACACAAAUAAUGCAUUUCUCACCAUCAAAAAGCUUCUGAAGCCAUGUUCUCAAAGGCAAAAAAUAAAUAAAUAAAUAACCAAUUAACUACACCAGUGUAAGGGUGAAACAAGUUCUUAUCUGAUAAAACUGACUUAUAAACACAGGUUAUCUCUUCCCCCUUUGAAACAGCCUCACUGUAUUUAAAUGAAAUGCGCUACAAUUUGGAAAAAUG